CUGGUGCACUCGGGCGGACCCAGCAGUCGAGAUCACAAUCGCUGUCGACAUCUUCACCCUCAGUAGCAAAGACAUCACCAUGAUUCAUCAGCCCAGCGCUGGUGAAGGUACUUGGACCUGCUGCCCCCUGCUCUGCUCGGAGAGGCUCAUAACCGAUGCCAAACUUAUCUUCUUUGACAGGCAAGUCCACCAUCUUGCCCCAGCCCUCAGCUCUACCAGAGUUAACCACCUCCUUAGCUUGCUUGUAAGAAGUGAUUGAAGCACCCGGCUUCCUCUGCUCAGCGUAGGCCACCUUUUCAAUAGCCACCGUCUCGAAUGCCUGGCACAGAGUUUCGUGGAUCUCGCCAUCCACCUCAACAUAUUUAAAUGAGGACAAAUGACUCACCAAGAUGUCCUCUUCACCGCACACGGUCA
rnacentral:lncRNA from 1 species